CAGGGCAUGGCUUAAACAGUAGAGCAUCUCUCUUACACUGAGAAGUUACCUGUGCAAAUCAGGUUGCCCCGA
rnacentral:tRNA from 1 species